CUAGUUUAGGGUACCUAGUGCCCAAACUUCAACCCUGUGAUUUACCAACUUGUUUCUUUGCCGGCCUCAAACCGGCAAAAGAAUUCUCGAACUCAUUGAUAAAAAGUUGCAAUCUGAAAUAUUUGAUCAAAAAUCAAAAGCA
rnacentral:misc_RNA from 1 species